ensembl:lncRNA
GGGGUUUAAUGGGGGGUCUUGAAUUGGGGGGCUUAUGGGGGGGCAUAAAUGGGGGAGGGUCGUUAUAUAGGGGGGUUAUGGGUGGAUGGGGGCACAAGAUGGCCGCCAUUGGUUGGGUGGAUGGAGAACAAGAUGGCCGCCAUUGUUAAACAGGGUUGGAGGGGGGGAAACAAGAUGGCGGACAUUAAGAAGAGGGCGGGACUUCCGGUCUUGAAGAUAAUUGAUGGCUCAAUGGGGAGAGGGACUUCCGGUCUUGGGGAGGAAGUGGGGGUGCAUGGGAACUUCCGGUGCUGGGUAAGAGGAGGCGGGACUUCCGGUUCUGGAUAGAAGGGCGGGGGGCGGGACUUCCGGUUGGUCCGGGCACCAAUGAAAGAUGAGACUUCCGGUUCCGGGUAAUCCAGGGGGUGGGACUUCCGGUUCGCGGGCCAAUCUACAACGGAAGCUCGGAGGGGGGGGAACACACACAAAGGAGACUUCCGGUUCUAUAUGCUCCUAUGAGGGCUUAGUUCCGGUUGGAUGGAACCGAACCGGGCCUGAUUUUCGGUUUUUCCACUCAAAAACUCGGGACUUCCGGUUCGAGGCACCCAGAAGACCGGAUAUCCGCUUUUGUGCAGCACUUCCGGUCUCCCACAUCCGGCUUUGUGGGCGGGACUUCCGGCUACUCUUCUCCACCAACGGCUGCGCUCAGAGCGCAAGGGGGCGUGGCUAAAUAUAAUGAGAUGCAAACCACGCCCAUGUCGCUCCAUAUAAGGAAAGAGGGCGUGGUCACGUUACCAUAUAUGGUAUCAACAUGGCGGCUGGGAGAUGAAGCCCCGCCCCCUUUCCCCGGCAUCCCCCGCGCGGCCCCGCCCCCCCCCGGAGCGCAGCGCAGCGGUGCCCAUGGAGGAGGAGGAGAAGCCCCCAGGGCAUGAAGAGCCAACGGGGCCGGGGGGGGGGGCGGCUGUCGGGACCCCCCCAUGAUGGAGAUGUGGACCCCCCCCCUCCACUGAAAGCAAUGGACGGAGUGAGAACGGCCUGGGGGGCUACAGGAGAUGCAGUUGGGAAGCGGUCCCUGCGGCAGCGUUGGUGUUGGGCUCCCUGUAUUAAAGGGGUCCCGGUAAGUUCCCACCCCAAAACCCCAAAACCCCUGACCCCAUUGACCCCCCCCACCCCAUAUCCAUAUCCAUACCCAACCGACCCCAAUUUGGUGUUUUUUCACCCCAAAACCAGGUGGUGGAGGGGCUGCAGGGGGCGCUGCGACAGCUGCUGGGGGCAGCAGGGUGAGUGGGGGACUUAUGGGGUCAUGGGGACGGCUAUGGGGUGUAUAGGGACGGUUAUGGGGUGUAUAGGGAUGGCUAUGGGGUGUAUAGGGACGGCUAUGGGGUGUAUAGGGAUGGCUAUGGGGUGGGGGUGUAUAGGGUGUAUAUAACGCCAUAUAAUUCUAUAUAACCCUAUAUAUUCCUAUAUAACCCUAUAUAAUCCUAUAUAACCCUAUAUAACCAUAUAAAUCCUUAUAUAACUCUAUAUAAUCCUAUAUAUAUCUAUAUAACCCUAUAUAAUCUUAUAUAACCCUAUAUAGCCUUAUGUAAUCCUGUAUGACCCUAUAUAACCCUAUAUAAUCCUAUAUAACCCUAUAUAAUCCUAUAUAACCAUAUAUAUCCCUAUAUAACCCUAUACAACCCUAUAUAGCCCUAUAUAACCCUAUAUAACCAUAUAUAAGCCUAUAUAACCGUAUAUAACCCUAUAUAACCCUAUAUAAUCCUAUAUCUCCCCCUAUCCCCUAUAGCCCUGAUGAAGAGGGACACUGGGGUCCCUCUAUGGGCACAUUGGGGUCACACUAUGGGGCCAGGAGAUCCCAUAACCCUAUAUAACCCUAUAUAGUCCUAUAUAACCCUAUAUAACCCUGUAAAUCCUUAUAUAACUCUAUACAAUCCUAUAUAUCCCUAUAUAGCCCUAUAUAACACUAUGUAAUCCUAUAUAACCCUAUAUAACCCUAUAUAACAUUAUAUAAUCCUAUGUAACCCUAUAUAAUCCUAUAUAACCUUAUGUAAUCCUAUAUGACCCUAUAUAACCCUAUAUAACCUUAUAAAUCCCUAUAUAACCCUAUAUAACCCUAUAUAUCCCUAUAUAUCCCUAUAUAACCUUAUAUAUCCCUAUAUAACCCUAUAUAAUCCUAUAUAACCCUAUAUAACCCUAUAAAUCCCUAUAUAACCCUAUAUAACCCCAUAUAACCCCAUAUAACCCUAUACAACCCUAUAUAACCCUAUACAACCCUAUAUAACCCUAUAUAACCCCGUAUAACCCCGUAUAACCUCGUAUAACCCUACAUAACCCUACAUAACCCUAUAUAACCCUAUAUAAUCCUAUAUAAUCCUAUAUAACCCUAUACAACGCUAUAUAACCCCAUAUAACCCCAUAUAACCCCAUAU